GACGGACGCUGGCGGCGUGCUUAACACAUGCAAGUCGAGCGGUAAGGCCCCUUCGGGGGUACACGAGCGGCGAACGGGUGAGUAACACGUGAGCAAUCUGCCCAUCACAUCGGGAUAACUCCGGGAAACCGAAGCUAAUACCGAAUACGACCACCUCCGGCAUCGGAUGGUGGUGGAAAGUUCCGGCGGUGAUGGAUGAGCUCGCGGCCUAUCAGCUUGUUGGUGGGGUAACGGCCCACCAAGGCUUCGACGGGUAGCCGGCCUGAGAGGGUGACCGGCCACACUGGGACUGAGACACGGCCCAGACUCCUACGGGAGGCAGCAGUGGGGAAUAUUGGACAAUGGGCGAAAGCCUGAUCCAGCAACGCCGCGUGAGGGAUGACGGCCUUCGGGUUGUAAACCUCUUUCAGCAGGGACGAAGCGCAAGUGACGGUACCUGCAGAAGAAGCACCGGCCAACUACGUG
rnacentral:rRNA from 1 species